AGAGUUUGAUUCUGGCUCAGGACGAACGCUGGCGGCAUGCCUAACACAUGCAAGUCGAACGGGGAUAGCAAUAUCCUAGUGGCGAACGGGUGAGUAACGCGUGAGUAACCUGCCUCAUACAACGGGAUACCCGAGGGAAACUUCGGUUAAUACGGUAUAAGACCACACUACCGCAUGGUAGAGGGGUAAAAGGGGCAACCUGGUAUGAGAUGGACUCGCGUCGCAUUAGCUAGUUGGUGAGGUAACGGCCCACCAAGGCGACGAUGCGUAGCCGACCUGAGAGGGUGAUCGGCCACAUUGGGACUGAGAUACGGCCCAGACUCCUACGGGAGGCAGCAGUGGGGAAUAUUGGGCAAUGGAGGAAACUCUGACCCAGCAAUGCCGCGUGAAUGAAGAAGGUCUUCGGAUUGUAAAGUUCUUUAGUCAGGGAAGAAGUCAAUGACGGUACCUGAAGAAUAAGCUCCGGCUAACUACGUGCCAGCAGCCGCGGUAAUACGUAGGGAGCAAGCGUUGUUCGGAAUGACUGGGCGUAAAGGGUGCGUANGCGGUUGUACAAGUUAGAAGUGAAAUACCCAGGGCUUAACUCGGGUGCUGCUUCUAAAACUGUAUGACUUGAGUGCA
rnacentral:rRNA from 1 species